ensembl:lncRNA
AUGGGGCCUUCAUCCAUAGGGAGAUGGUUGGACAGCGGGAUCUCGUGGUUGGCCAAUGGGAUCUGGUUGAGCAUUGGGAUCUCGUUGUUGGCCAUUGGGAUUUGGUUGAGCAUCGGGAUCUCGUUGUUGGCCAUUGGGAUUGCAUGGUUGGCCAUUGGGAUCUUGUUGGCCAUUGGGAUCUCAUUGUUGGCUAUUGGGAUCUUGUUGUUGGCGGUUGGGAAUCUCAGGGUGUCCAUCGGGAUCUUCUUGCCCAUUGCGAUCUUCCUCCCCAUUGGGGUCUUCCUCCCCACAAACACCUCAUUGUCCAUUGAGGCCCCGUUGUCCAUCGGGCUCUCGCUGUCCAUAGGGAAACCUUUCCCCAUUGAUAAACCAUUACCCCGUGGGAAAUCCUGCCCCACCUUGGAGCCUUUCCCCAUUGACAAUCCCUUAUCAAUGGCCAAUUCCUUCCCCAUUGAUAACCCUGUACCCGCCGAGAACUUCUUACUCACCGACGACCCCUUCCCCAUUGAAAACUCCUUCUCAAUGGGGAACUCCUGCCCUGCAGAAAACCCUCUGCCCGCUGACGCCCCUCUGCCCAUUGAGAAGCCAUUGCCCAUUGAUAAAUCUUCAUCCAUUGAGAAGCCAUUGCCCAUUGAUGACCCUUUACCCACAGAUGCCCCAUUGUUCACUGACUCCUUCCCCGUCGCAAACCCCCUCUCCUCAGGGAAGCCCCUCCCCCCCCACUCCUCCUUCCCCUCCCGUUCCUCCUCCCCUUCCUCCUCCUCCUCCUCCUCGGAUCGCUUCCCCUCCGCUCCGGGGCCGUGCAGGAGGUACCGGAGCAGCAGAUCGGACGCCAUGUCCGCCAGCCUUUCCUCCUCGGCGGCCGCUUUCCGGGCUGCCUGCGCCUGCCUCCUGCUCUCCAUCAGCUCCUGGUAGCGCCGUUCCAGCAGCUUCAGCUCCAGGCUUUGCUGCUGCCUCAGCUGCCUGGCGCUGGCCCAUCCCCGGCCCCGUUCCCGUUCUCUUUCCCGUUCCCUUUUUCUCGCCUCCGCUCGGAGUUUAUUCAGUUCUUCCAAUUCUUUCCACGUUUCUGUCGGGUUUCCUCCUCCGUUUCGUUUCGUGCCGCCUCCUUUGGCGUCUUCAAGCCAGCUGAAGGGGUUCGGCUCGUCCCAGGGGUCUCCCAGCCUCGAGGAUGAUGAUGAUGAUGAUGAUGAUGGAGGUUUCUUUUGGGGGGGGGGAGGCUGAGGGCGGCUCUGAGCCAGGAGGGCGAUGGAGAGGAGGAGGGCGGCGCUGCGAAGGGGGCGGAGGUCAGGGAGACCCCCAUAGGGUCCCCUCAUUGACCCCCUUCAAUCCCCUCAGCUGUUCUCCCACAGAGUCCCCCCCCAUUGAUGUUUUGGGGCUCCCACGUAUUGGGUGCAUCCCCCCCCGUAGCCUCCCCCAAUUACCCCAUAGCGCCCCCUAAACCCUCCCCUAGGGGUCUCCUAAAUCCCUCCAUAGGGUCUCCCAGUUUCCUCCCAUAUUCUGCCCCCCGCCCCCCCCCCGUGUUAUGAAUCCCCCCCCACAGGGUCCUUUAAUCCCCCCCCAUCCCCCCCAAAUCCCCUC